UAGAGGAAGUAAAAGUCGUAACAAGGUCUCCGUUGGUGAACCAGCGGAGGGAUCAUUAAAGAGUUUACACAACUCCUAAACCCAUGUGAACUUACCUUUUGUUGCCUCGGCAGGUCGCGUUUACCCUGUGAGGGCCUACCCUGUAGGCUCUUACCUGGUGGACGUGGGCUCCCCUGCCGGCGGCCCGUUAAAUUCUGUUUAUUAUAUUAUUUCUGAAUCUAUAACUAAAUAAGUUAAAACUUUCAACAACGGAUCUCUUGGUUCUGGCAUCGAUGAAGAACGCAGCGAAAUGCGAUAAGUAAUGUGAAUUGCAGAAUUCAGUGAAUCAUCGAAUCUUUGAACGCACAUUGCGCCCAUUAGUAUUCUAGUGGGCAUGCCUGUUCGAGCGUCAUUUCAACCCUUAAGCCUCUGUUGCUUAGUGUUGGGAGCCUACAGCCCUCUGUAGCUCCCCAAAGUUAGUGGCGGAGUCGGUUCACACUCUAGACGUAGUAAAUUUUUAUCUCGCCUAUAGAUGAGCCGGCGCCUUGCCGUAAAACCCCCUAAUUUNNCACAAGGUGACCU
rnacentral:rRNA from 1 species